AAGAAGCCCUCACACAAUUAAAUUUAAUUUAACACAAUUAAAAGUGUUUUAAUUGCAGACAGUGAAGAGCUAGUAAACUAUCUUUCCUUGAAACUAAUACCAAACUAGAACAAGUGAAGGUUUUUCAUAAGCAUUAGAUUAAAAUGGAACAAGCUCAUUACUGGUUUAUCAGAUUAAUUGGUGGCCUUUGCCUCAAGUGCCUCAGAUACAAGUGGAAACACCUGGCUUCAGGGGCAUGGUGGGGUUAGGGGAUGUUCAGGUACUGCUCUGCUUGAAAUACAGACAUUCAUUUUGUGUUCUGACACUGCUGUAUGAUAGAAAGUGUGUGGAUGUCUCAUUUUCUAAAGAACUUCAAGGCCCUGGAGAAACAUUCUGAAAUCUUGAUUUUGAAGGAAAUAUUUUGUUCUGUUUUCAGUUGAAAUAGACCAGGACAGAAGUUUUUGAGAAACAAUGAAAGGGUGGUGAUGUAUUACUGUGGCGAAACAGGAGGAAGUCCAGUCUCCAAUACCUCUUGCACAGGAAUUCGUAAUGGUUAAGUCACUGUUAGUCACUACACAGAGAAGUGCUUUGAUAUUUGUUUUGCUUUAAAAAUCAUGCCCUCGCUUUUUUUUGUUUCCUGAAUAGCGUGAAAUAUAUCCAGUUAAGUAUGUAUGAAUGAUGUGUGUUUUCUUGUAAUCUCUUCAGUCUAACUAUAGCAGUUUAAGAAGCUAGGGAAUGAUCUUGAGCACUGCAGCAGGAAAACACAGGAACUGAAGUUGUGCAAGAAGAAAAUGCCAAGCCAGUCACUCCACAGUUUUUUUGUAGAGCCAAGAACAACAAUUGGUCUAUUUUAAAAAGAAGGAUGCACUUGUAAAGGUAUUCUGUUUCGCAAAAUCACUAAUAUUUCAGUGAAGGUUCAAAACGUCACAUCAGCUUGGUUGUCCAUGUUCAGGGUCUCCAUACAAUGUUCCAUGAAGUGCUAUGGGUACACCCAUUACUUCACACUCUAGUCCAAGCACAUCACUAACAUUUUAAGCCUCUUAAAAACUUAAAUACUCUACAGUAUUUUGUCUUAACACAGAAAAGGAAAUAGGAAAAUACUGAGGAAGCUGUUCAAGUAAUUUAUGAUUUACACUAUAUCUUGAUGAUCACUCUGUACAUAACCAUUGUUAGAGCACAAAUUAAGAAAAAGUAUGCACUUUCCAGUAAUUAAUUUAGUAGUUAUAUAUAGUUGUGCUGCAUGUAGGAUGUCAUUCAUACAGAAUAUUUUUCAGUCUCUACACUCAAGACUAUAAUCUCUUCAAAUCAGUCAACCUAUAGCACGAGGCUAUAGGUUGACAGGAAAGGACAUUCAGAGACAAAACUGCAGAGGAAAUAGCACUGGCAAUUCAAUAAAUAUCAAUCAUGUUUCCAUGUCAGUGCUAAAGUGUUACCCAUUAGUACAGUAUUAAGGGAAACAGUGCAGUUAGAGUGGCUGAGAAACACUCUCAAGUCUGUUCCAGUGUCAUCCUAACGAGUAGAGGGCUGAGGAUGCAAAAGGCAUUCUCAAAGCCUGCUUCCUGCUAAAGGCAAAUUGCCCUGGCAUAGGAUCUGUGCCAGACAGCCGCAGGCUGCUCCCUCAGGAAGCCCUUCUAGGCUUCACCAACAGGGAGUGGAGUCAAGGAUAAAGGCAGGAGGAACAUGCUGAGAGCUCAACCCUUGCGUUGCUGCAGAUGUUUGGAGUGGCACUAUAAUCCUCUUGCAUGGGCUGGACUGUGGCCCAGGUUUUGAACUGUCUAAAUUACAUCACAGUUGUGAGAUAAUCAGGUGGACAAGAUAACAUUUUACCCUUGCUCCUUUCCCAACCCGCACCAACAUUUUGCCUUAGUGAGGUCCAUGUGGAAUCUGUGUGCAGUGCACUCCUCACAGAAGAGAACUGGGGAGAGAGCCAAGUUUUAGUUGACUAAAAUUGGUCAACAUGGAUGAUUCUGAUGCUGCUUGUGUCUGUCACGGACCUAUAGGUGGUGUUUUUCAAAAGAAAAGUGCACGUGGUUGAUGUCUUUGGUCUACGGGGGAAAAGUCUCCUGUUCCCAGAGAACACUGGUAUCUAUUCUCUUCCUUCCCUUGAAUUGUUUCUGAUGCAACAGUAGUUAUGUGCUCAUGUCAAUACUGUUUCUUUUUCUUUUUUCUUUUUUCUUUUUUUUUUCUUUCUUUUUCUUUUUCUUUUUCUUUUCUUUUUCUUUUUCUUUUUCUUUUUCUUUUUCUUUUUCUUUUUCUUUUUCUUUUUCUUUUUCUUUUUCUUUUUCUUUUUCUUUUUCUUUUUCUUUUUCUUUUUCUUUUUCUUUUUCUUUUUCUUUUUCUUUUUCUUUUUCUUUUUCUUUUUCUUUUUUUUUCUUUUUUUCUUUUUCCCACAGGAUAGAUUGUAGCUUUUGUAUAUAUGAGAAAUACCCAGAUCUAGAUGUCAAGAAAAUCUCAAUCACUACUUUUUCAGUAGCCUAAAUCACACUGACCUUUGUUCAGCACAUUUUCCAGGACACUCAUACAUCGGAAGGAAAAGAGAAAUUUCAUGAAACACGUUAACUCAAUUUCAAAAAACAUCUGAAAUCAGUUGCAGUGCACAGAAGAGAAUCUUUGUGCCUGAAUACUGGAUUUUGCCUCCCAGAAAAAAACCCAGCAUGACAUCCAUUUAACUGAGUACCCAGAGAAUUUCUCCAAAACCUGCACUCAGCCAACCAAGAGGACUGGUGCUGUCCCCUGGAAGAAAAUGGGUAUAAUUCUUGAACAACUGGCCAAGUUCUGACAUGGGAUACAGAAGUGUUUAAUUAUUGGACGUCUGUUCACUCAGUUCCAUGGACUAGAAAUAAUGGCAUCAAGCUUUCCACAAGAAAAAAACCUUAUUUCCCUUUCCAAAAGCUCAUAGUCCCUUGAAGCAGGAAGACAUGCCAGAAGUAAAUAAUCUGAAGUUGAAGGCACCCAUAGAAAAAGACUCUGCUUUGAUUUUCAUGUUCUCAAAAGGAAGAAGGGACAUGUGAUCUGCUUAAAGAUCUCAUUAACUGUUAAUUGUUGCCUGAUAAAGCCAAAACCUCUAUGUGGUAUUCCAGGCUGUUAUUUUAGGAAAUAUUGGUUAAUCUCACUCAAAAGAAAAUAUAACCUAUAUGCCAAGUAGUAAAUAUUGUCAAUUACUUAUGAUAGAUAUAGAAAAAUUAAAGAGUUUAUGUAUUAUUCAUUUUUAUUGGAAGUUACUGUAUAACUCUUUUAUAUUGCUAAACCUAUGUAUAAACUUGAUCUGUAAUCUGGCAAAUGUGGAGAGGAACUAGAGCAGUUUUGUUGUAAAAGUAAUAUUCUUGACAUAAAAAGAGCUCCUGGUUUAAGGAAGAGACAAAAUAGAUAAAUACCUGUCUGUGAUACAGAAAAGGUUAAUAUUCAUGAACUUGAGCUGCAACAGAAUUAAUGAUAGGCUCAUCAGUUUAAUAAUAAAGUGUUUAUAGAGUAUCACUUUGGGAGCAGCACCAGGAGAAAAAUGUGACUUAAACACAACCUUUUUGCUGUUUCUUGGUUGCCGGAAAAACAGAGUAAUUUAUUCCAUCCCUCUCUUAAGUUUAGCACACUCUCCAUCAUAAAUCUGAACACAUCUGUUGGCUGGCACACAGGGACUUUUUGUCAGCUGAAAAAUGCCAGCUCCUAUUAUGCAGGUAUCUGAGGCAUGCUGUCUUUUCUCUCUACUACUGUGCCUGUAGUCACAACCCCCAGGGGCCAGCUAAAUGAACUAUAUUGCCUGCUGCUUUCAUGCAUGGAAGCAUGUGACUUGAAGAGAUAAGCAAACUUUCACAAUACCAGCAAAAUACCCUGGUGUUUUUAAAGUGUUGCACUUUGGGCAACUACAGUGUCAUCUUUCUACCCUAAUUUAAACAAGAAAUCAUAUUUGUAACUGUAAAAUGAUAUUUGAAAAGACAGAACGUUCUAUGUAGCAACCAGGAUAGGUGCUCACCCCUUUUCCUAAAGUGGGAGAAGAGCUAUUUUCCAGCUUGUGACUGAAUCUACAGUCCUACUGCCAGUGAUUCUCAUUCCUGAAUCAUCUUUGUCAGGAAAAAUUAAUUUGCUGAAUCAAUUUGUAUUGCUCUAAAUCUACAUUGAGUGUUGUUCAAGCAGGCAGCAUUAUUAUAUACAUUCCUGUGCAAUUAGCUGAAAACGGACGCCAUCACAUUUAAAAGGAAAAAAAUACAAUAAUUUUGUAUUGAAUCAAUUAGUUUGUUAAACAAGGAAGGAAAAUCAUGAUGUUUCUUUGGAUUUUACCAUCUACCUUUGUACCUAUGCCCAUUUUUUACAAGAGAAUAACUAUGUAUCAGAUAGGGAAAAAAACCUAAAAUCCCACACUGUAUUUUAAAAGUAUACUGGAAUGAGUUUGCAAGGUG